GUUUGCUCGCCAGUGUAAGGCUGUGAUAUCCCAAGACAGAGAACAGAGAAGUGUUAAUGAAGAGGAGCGAUGUGUUAGGAGGUGGGGGCUUCAGAAGUUUUAGGCUGUGGGUCGUUUGAGGAUGCUGUGACUGAUUUGGAGCCACCGGUUGGAAGAAGGGGCAGAGAAAGGGAACUGGGGUGAUGUCGGAGAGAAGUUCAUCCUGAUCUCAGUAUUGCGCAGGGCUGGUUUCACAGUGGCUGCGGUGUCACAGGAGGAGAGCUUACUUUCUGUAGCUUCUGCACCUGCUGAUUCUGAAAGUCUGUGUGUUAUAAACAGUUUGUGAAGCGUGGGGUACUGAUAGAUGACAUCUGCUUCUAACUCCAGGAAGAUAGAAGAGCUGUGUGGAAAGAGGCUUUGGGAAAUGAAAAGAAGUGAUCUGGAACCCCCAGCUUCUGGGCAGUCUUCUCUGGAAGUUCGAUAUGGUCAAGGCCUGGUGCUUGAAGUGAGCUGUGACCUUGAACCUGUAUGCUAGGAUCCAGGAUGGACAUGGAUCCUUUGAUGCUCUCCUAACCAUUGGCGCAGCUCUUCUGGGAAACCGGCCAGUGCGCGCAACAGCAAGAUGAAAAGGACUGGAAAGUGGAACGUGGCGCACAGCCCAGAUUCAUGGUCUUCUGUGGCAGGAAACCAAUCAAGAAACGGUUCCAGAAUAGUCUUUAGCAGACAUUGCAGUGACCCCAGAUGUGUAGUUGGCGUGGCACUGGGAGGCCGGCAGGCGAGCACCCCUGCUCAGCUGCAGAAGAGACGCACCCCUGGGUGGGGGGGGGGGUGCUGCUUCACAACCCCAGGCGAGGAGGGAAGCUUUUCUCUUGCCCUGGCAACAGCCCAGCCAAUGAGAUCCAGGCACAGGCCUGCCAGGGAGAGGUCCCUGGGCCUCGGGCUCCGGGUUUACCCUGGGGACUCUCCCUUCACAACAGUCUCUUUCCACUGCCUUCCCUCUUCCUAAACAGAAGUCUGUCCUUUGCUCUGUGGACUUCCCUACGGUUUUGAUGUAGCUUGAGUGUCCUACAUUCUAAU